CUUUGCUUGUAGAAAUUCCUGCCCUGCGUGCGGUGAGGUGGGAAAAUGGGGGGAAGUUUGGGUGGAAAAGGGGUGGGAGGGAAAAAAAAAAUAGGCAUAAAGAAAUAGAAAAUGGCUGUUUUGGGUUUAGCUCCUGGCUGUCUGCGCUGCUGAGCCUGGUCUGAACACAGCUGGCAGCUACGGGGCUAAGGAGCUAUGGGGCUGAGGAGGGAGCAGAGGGUCACUGCAGGGAUUUGGGGAUGCAGAGGUUCAGGGUGAGGUUUUUUUUCCCAUCUCCAUGCUCUGGAUCUGUGGGGCUGCCAUGGGAUUUGCACCAGAAUGGGACAGUGCAGCAGUGGGGCUCUAUGCUGGAGCACCCGGAGGGGCUGGUGUUGGGCUCAGGCACCUCAGGGUCCUGGUGAUGGGUGCUCAGGUACCCAAGGGUCCCAGUGAUGGAGACUUGGGCAUCUCAAGGUCCUGGUAAUUGAGGCUUAGGAACCUCAGUGUCCUGGUGAUAGAGGCUCAGACGCCUCAAGGCCAUGGUGAUGGAGGCUCAGGUACCAAAGAGACCUAGUAAUGGAGGUUCAGAAACUGCAGGAUCGCAGUGACUGAGUCUCAGGCACCCAGGGAUCCUGUGGUUGAGGUUCAAGAACCUCAGGGAUCUGCUGAUAGAAGCUCAGGUAUCUCUGGAUCCUGGCGAUAGAGGCUUGGGAACCUCAGGGCUACGGUUGUGGAGGCUCAGGCUCUGAAAGAUCCCAGUGAUGGAGGCUUAGGCUUUUCAGGGUCAUGGUGAUGAAUGCUCAAAUACUCAAGGGUCCCUGUGAUGAAGACUCAGGAUCCCAGGGAUCCCGUAGUUGAAGCUCAGGAGUCUCGAGGUCCCAGUGAUGGAGUCUCAGGUACCCAAGGGUGCCAAAGGUGGAGGCUCAGGAACCUCAGGGUCCUGGUGAUAGAGGUUCAGCACAGCAGGACCUGGUGGGAGAUGAGACACAGGAGCUGCUGUGAACACGGAACCUAUGGAGGCUAUUUCAGUCCCCAUUAAGGCCAUUAAACACAGAACCCACUUGGAGCAAUUCACGCGCCUGUCUGAACACCAUGAAAUCCUCAUUCCUAUCCCAGUGGUUGCCAGGAUCCUCGUGGUUUGCAGCUCCACUCCUGGUUUAUGGGAGCUAUUAAUAUCUCCCCAGCAUUUAAGGGCGCAGGUAGAGAUCUCUACCUUUGUGCUUGGCAGUCUGCACUCUUCCUUGAAGAAUUAAGGGAAUGAAGGCAAAGCCCAUCUCGGAGCCCCUUGAGCGCAGGUCUGGGAACUGAACAUCCCAACCACAGCGAACAGAGGAUCAGAAUAGAAGAUUGCUUUUACACAGGGGAUUUUGCAGCAUGAGCUUGGCUUCUGAUGUCCAUCCAAAGCACGCAGGCAGAGAAGGAAUGCUCUGUUUUCAGUCUGCAAUGGAGUCACUGUUUUAAUUUUAGCUCCUCCAGAGCAAAGAUGUAACCAAGCUGUUACCAAAGCAAAGCACCUUAUGGGGGCUGGAAGAGGCAGAAGGACUGAACCUCCCCAUCCAGCAGUGUGUGGGAACCAGGACUUGAGGCACCACAAAAACUGGCGAAGCUGAGCACUCAAAAUCUGUGCUUCCUUCUUAAAAAAACCCCAAAAGAUUCAUCCCUGCUCACGGAUGUCCUUUCCCAGAGGCAGAGCUGUGCACAGAGAUCCCAAUCUCCCAAGCAGGGAGGGCAGCCAGCACAGAACAAACCCCAAACCACUUAAUGGAUGCCACUUUCCCUUUGUAAGACUGGCGCUGUUCAGUCAAUAAGUCACAGAUUUCUGUUUAUUGGGUAUGGUUUGCUGCUCCUCUCUUUGGCCAUAUUGUGAAAUUCCCGAGCCUCGUUGCACUGAAAGGUUUUGCAAAUGUUUUUAGCCAUGAGCCUUUGAGCUUGCAGGUCGCGCAAUGGAAAUGUUGCAAUGGAUCUUUGCAGGUGGUGUUGCAAUUAUGUUAGCCUGGGACCGAGAAAUGUGGAGCAGACAGCAAAGGUGGCAUGAUCCAAAGUGUCUGCAAAGGGGACGGUGGGGACAAGAAGACAUCAUAUGGCCUUGUGUGGCCGUAGCCAGAAGAUGGAAUGGGGCUAUUCAAUCCCUGCCCAAACCACCCCUAUUUCAGCAGGUAAAAGUGGAGGGCAGAAAUAAAUCUGAUGGCAAAGAGCUGGGAAUGGCAGCACCGAUUAUUGCUCUCAUUUCUCCCCUUCCCCAAAUUCAUGUAUUUAGGUCUGUGUGCAUGUGCCAGCAGCAAGACUGCAGGCAAGAAAAAGGGCAGAAAAAUAGACAUCAUAGCAGAAAACUGUUGCCCACUUGAUAAAUUAAGGUGGCUUUUCCUUUAGGAUUUUGCAGCAGUUUCUUUUCCUGUUGCUGACAUUUUCCUCUCUGGUUUCCAUCUAACCCAGGAGACAUCUCCUUCCCUAGAGCUCCUAGUCGUGCUAUUGUCAGCAAAAAAAAUAGGAUUCGAGAGUUUGCUUGCCCUUGGGAAGCAGAUUUCUUUUUUUGCAAAAGUUAAAAUAGCG
ensembl:lncRNA